rnacentral:lncRNA from 1 species
CCUGCUUUCUUGGUGACCUCUGAGCUGCAGGACACUGCUGGUGUGGCUGUAACAGCUUGAACUAAUGAAUAGGUGCUCUCCUCCUCACUCCCCAACAGGUGACUGUCUUGUUCUGUCAAGCCUUGCCUGGAUUUUUUGUUUGUUUGUUUGAGAUGGAGUCUUGCUCUGUUGCCCACGCUGGAGUUCAGUGGCUUAAUGUCCGCUCACUGCAAGCUCCGCCCCCCAGGUUCAUUGGUCCAGGACCCGAGGCCAGAAGUGUCAUCAGAUACUCCUUUGAGGCCGGGUGUACAAAUAAAGACACAAGAAAAAGAUAGAAGAAAAGACAGCUGGGCCCGGGGGACCACUACCACCAAGGCACGGAGAUCGGUAAUGGCCCUGAAUGCCUGGCUGCGCUGUUAUUUAUUGGAUACAAGGCAAGGGGACAGGUUAAGGAGUGUGAGCCAUCUCCAAUGAUAGGUAGGGUCACGCAAGUCACGUGUCCACUGGGCCCUUCCCUGUUUGGCAGCCGAGGCGGAGAGAGAGGACAGCUGACGCCAUU